UUGGACAAAACGCACAAAGCAAGGAAAGAAUGAAGGGAUUUAUUGAAAAUGAAAGCACACUCCACAGUGUGGGAGCGCGCCCGAGCACAGGGGCUUAAGGACCCCAUUACAAAAUUUUGGAGGGUUUAAUGACCCCCCUAGAGGAUUCCAUUGGUUACUUCAGGUACGCCCUAUGUAACUGGAGAGGAUGAAGUAAAGUUACAAAGUCAUUUACGCAUAUGCCCUAUGGAGAGGAUAUUUCCUGUUAUAGCUGAAGUGUGAACUGGCCUUAUGUUCCCUGCCUCCAGACCCUAUUUUCCUGCCUCACAGUGAAAACAGGGGCAUGGACAAUCAGAUAUACCUGGAUGUUUAGAUCCCAGCUCUGUCUGAGUGACCUUGGGCAAGCACUUAACCUCUAAUACCCCAUGUUUUUCAUCUACACAAUAGAGGUGAUAAAAGUAACUGUCUCCUAUGGUGGUUGUGAGGAUUAAAUGGGGUUGUUAGCAUGAUGCCUGGUGAAGCACUCAAUAAAGGUUCAAACAGGGGUAGUCAUAAUGGUAAGAACGAUAGCAAUAUUCUCUGAUCUCUCUGGGCCUCUGCUAGCCAGCUAUAAAUUCGAUCUCUCUCUGUGUCCCUUCCACCCUUACUGAGUUCUUUGAGAAACAAAUGAGACCACGGGCUUGGAAAUGCCUUGAAAAUAUGUCAGGCAUGAUUGAGAGUGAUGAAGUGUUGCUUUGGAAUAGUCACUGUAGCUGUCUUCCUGGUCGGCCAGCUGCUCCUCUGCCUGCUGUAUCCUGACUUCACCUUUCUGUAUUUGCAGGACAACAACCAGUUAAGCAGAGACAGAGAUGCCCUCAGGCUGCAGUUAGACAAGAACACCUAGGAUGGGGGAAGGUGGAAUGGGAGGUCUGGGGCCCUUAGCAUGGGUAGCGUGGGCGAGGUGGGAGGGGUGCAGGUGAGUAUGGUGAGGUGGUUGUACAGGUUUGUAUGCGUGCACCGCUAGCUCUAGUGCCAUCUGUGCCCCAACUCAUGCUAUAGACUUGGGCAACUCAUGUCUUCUCUCUGGCCUGUCACCUGUGACAUUUGAUUCCUGGGGACCCUUACAGUACCACAGUUCUGUGGUUGUGGGGCAAGGGUAGAGGGUUGAUCACCAAAGCAAUCCUUUCUAUUUUUCGUUAAUUCCUUUCUCUGCUGCCAUUGGCCAUAGCAACAGCAAUAAGGAGCUGAAGCAGGAGAACUCAGCUUAGGCAGAGCAGCUUAUAGUCAUACUGAUCCACAAGGCAGCGAUGCAGCAUGACUUCGAGGAGCUGAAAAACAAACUGGAGAUCGCCGACCUCACACUUCAGCAGGUGAUGGAGUGGGUGCAGUAUCUGCAAAUGGAGACAGACCAGUAUGCCGAGUAUCUCCAUGGAGAGCACGCCAUAUGGUGGCAGAGGAUGCAGAUGUCAGAGCAGGUGAGGACCACUGACAGCCCUUUCUAACUGCUGUGCUCAUUCUUGCAGGUGAUGGAGUCACUUAAACAACUCCAGCUAGAGAGAGAUGAAUAUGCUCAACAUAUAAAAGGAGAGAGGGCCCGGUGGCAGGAAAGGAUGUGGAAAAUGUCAGAGGAGGUUCGCACAUUGAAGGAGGAGAAGUAGCGUGAGUGCAUCAAGUACAGAAGCUGGAGACAAGCUUGGCUGAACUGAAGAACCAGAUGGCCGAAUCCUCGUGCCUGGAGUCCCCAGCAGGGCCCUGAGAGCUGGAGCAGCAGCUACAAGCCGAGGCUGAGCACCUACAGAAGGAGCUGGAGAGUCCGGCAGGACAACUCCAAGCUCAGGUGGAAGACAAUCAGGGCUUGCGUCAGCUGAAUUGGGAGCAGGAGAGGCUGCAGGAGCAGGAGAAGCUGCUGGAAUGGAAGGCCAAGCUCUGGGAGGAGCAGGCGGAGGUGCACAGGCAAACCUUCCCGAAUGACCGCACCACCAUCAGGCGCAGGCAAUCCUUCCCGAAUGACCGCACCACUAUCAGCUGCACGCUCUCCCAGAACCACAAGCUGAAGGAGCAGCUGACUGAGAAUGAAGGAGAUGGUAACCCCUUCCCCAUCAAAGAAGGGCUGGGAAGCAGGCACCAGCCUCUGGGGAACGGAGGUGCGAGGCCAGAGACAGCUCCAGCCUAGGGGACAGGUGACCGCAGCACCCUCCAGGGCAGUGCUGUAACUGUUUCUUGCUUCCUGCCCUCUGAAUUUUAGAGGAGCACCUGGAAGCUGCCAGCCAGCAGAACCAGCAGCUACAGGCCCAGUUGAGCCUCAUGGCUCUCCCUGGGGAAGAUACAGGAGACCACUCAGAGGAAGAGGAGAGAGCCCCAGGAGGAAUCGGGGACUGCUGGCAGUGUAGGAGUGAGGAGUUGGAAGAGACCUUUAGAACAGCUGGUCAUUAUGCUUACCAGAUUUGUUCUCGACAAGUUUUCUGGUUCAGACCACAGGCAGAGAGGCCGAGAGGAUGAGAAGGACCAGUUCAGUUUGAGGAAGAUCCUUUUGGUUUGGACAAGUUUUUGGAAGAAGCCAGACAGCUUGGUGGCUCUCAAAGACCCUCAGCAGCAGCCCCAAAGAACAUGAGCAUGAAGGCAAGAAGAGGAGGAAGGAGUAGACACACAUCUCUUCAAAGCAAAUGAACUGUGAUUAUCCAUAACCCUGAUGACGCAAGUGCUAUGGGAUAACACUUUGUGAGUGGUCGGGAUACAAACCAGAUCUGGAUGCUACUUUCUAUUAUUGGAGAAGGUGGGAGUGGGGAGAGGGUGGGGAUAGAAAAUUCUACUUUGAAUUAUUUGGUUUUUUUAAAGAGUGGCUUUUAUUUGUGCUCCUCCCACCUUUCAGCAUUCAUAGAACAUGCUGGCCCACAUCCACAAUCAAGACCACUGCCUUUUGUGUGACACGUAGUUCGCGUUAAUAUUUUGUGUAAGAACAGCUGCUUAUGAGUCAAGUCGCCCCAACCGCAGUGAGGUGGAGAAUGUUCACAUGUUGGAACUGUCCUGCCAAAUAAAUGUGGCCCCUGUUGCGCUGUGUUUUAAUUUGGAGUGGGGAAAAGAAGCUCUUGCUUUGUUUCAAAUAAAAACCUUUAGACAAAA